GCACGGACACUAGUACCGCGAGUGCUGAUU
rnacentral:piRNA from 1 species